rnacentral:lncRNA from 1 species
CGCCGGCUGCGCCGCUCGCCUCCAAGGGAGCGUUCCGUGCUGGCCCCUCGCUCGGCUCCGCUCCGCCUCCGCCACGCCGCUCUCCGAGCUUCGGCAGCAGCCAGCGCCCCCUCCACGCUGCGACCCCGGCUCUCGGCUCUCCGUCCCUGUAGCUCCGUGCCCAGCACCUCGCGCCCCGCAACCUCGCCGUCUCCCAAGUCCCGGGCCCCGCUUCUGUCGCUGUCCGUCGCUGUCCGUGUGUCGCUCGCUCGGUCUGUCUCUCCGCCUCCCCAGCCCUUCCUUCCUCCCUGUCUCCCUCGCUGGCUUGCACGUUCGCUCGCUCUCGGACGCGGCGAAACAGCUUCGCAGGCAAAUCCCAGAAACCUUUGCAAAAAGCUUGCAAUGAAAUUUAAGAAGUUCUUCGAUUUCGGCGCCAUUUUCGAGUGGAGCCAGAGGUGACAUGCGAUUUUUUAAAAAGGGACUUGGUGGCUGGCGUCUUUCCCGACUGUAACGUGGGUUACGGCAGGCAGAAAAACAUCUGGUGAUAAUUCUGAAAAAAGUGCUGUGGCGUUUGGGGGGGUUGUAAAGCACGUUUUGCGGGCGGGAUGGGGGCAAAUCUGACAUUUAAAGUGUUUAACAAAUGAGUGCGGCCGGGAAAUUCUCAGGAAACGGACUGGGAAAAAAAAAACAACAACUAACAUGGAGGGGCGGGGAGAGAAAACUGAGUAAGGGGCAGUGACCGACUGUCAGCCUCGCUAGGGUCGGGAGCGACUGGUUUUGACAGAAUGUAAAUGAACUUUUCCUCUUAUUUGCAAGAAGUUAGUUAUGUCUUGGAAAGAAAUGUGUGAUUAAUUUCACAUUGUCUCUCCCGAAUUAAAACUUUAAAGGUUGUUUAGUUUUCCCCGUAGGGACUUGACAUUGUGGAAGUUUGGCUAGAAUGCGCCGAGAGAAGGUACAUCGUGUGUUUGGGGUGUGGGGGACGAAGGCAUAUGCAAAAUUAAAAGACAAAACGUUGUAGAGUAUGAACAGAGGAAGAGGCGUAUUCUUUGGCUCUUAAAUCAUUUAGCCAAACACAUUGCAGUUCAGAAGGGGGUGGGGCUAUGGCAACUCGAAAGUAUCGAUUCUUUGUCUAUUGUAUCAGUGAAUGACCCUCUCCUGAAGUGACAAGACGCCCCUUUGUAAUCUCUUUUCGGCAGUCAACGACAUUUUUCUCCAUUAAUCCCAAAGUCAGUGUAAAAGUUGUUUGUAAAUAUCAUUGCCAAAACAAGAUGGAAUGUAGAGAUACUUGAUUGUCGCAAUUUAGGGAAUGGGGUUAUUGUUACUAAUGACUUUUUUUUUUUACCAUGACAUAGUGUAUUUGUUACCACUGGAUCUCAGUCUGGAUGUUAUAAAUUCGAUACUUAAUCUUAUUAAAUACUCUGCACAUUUUAUUAACUAAUAAAUAGGACACUUAACAUUCAUUGUACUGGUUUUGAAAAACCGACUUAAUUUGUAAGUGUAACAAGAUACUUACAGUUGGAUAAUUUAAAUGUCUAUUACUUGUGCUGAAAUGUAUUUAACUUUCAAAACCAUUACAGUUAGUGCUGAUUUUGUUGUUUUAACUUUUAGGUUUGUGAUUGAGGAUUUCAGAGUGGGUUUUUUUUUUAAUGCUUAAUUGAAUAUUGUAUUCAAACAAAAAGAGGGCAUGCAUGUGACUUGUUGCUAAUAUGUGUCCAUUUUAAAAAGGAAAAAGUGGUAUCUAAUGAGUUAAUCAUUAAGGAGUAUGCGCAGUGCCGGCCAUUUCAGGACAUGAAAGUUUCUGUGGAGCUGCUUGAAACAGGAAGGAGCGACUUGACAUCAAGUAUUUAAACUUUUUGAUUUAUGUUUUGAUAGAUGACAUUGAUAGGUAUAAAUUAUAAAUAAGUUUGAGUAACCAGUUUAAUAUGUAAACUGGUAUUUCAUCUACAGAAAGUUCUCUGUCAUUGUUUGGAGCUCUUUAAAAUAACUCAGCUGGGGUGUUUAAGAAUAAAAACACUAGCAGUGAGUUAGGACAUCUAAUGCUUUUAAAGAUAGAUGUAUAUGUCGCAACGAUAGUGUAAGAAUCAGCUGAAGCUACCGGUGAGGUUUUGGUUAUUUUCUUUCAGUCAUCUGAGUCCAUUUCCAAUAAAG